rnacentral:rRNA from 1 species
GUGGGGAAUCUUGCGCAAUGGGCGAAAGCCUGACGCAGCAACGCCGCGUGCGGGAUGACGGCCUUCGGGUUGUAAACCGCUUUCAGUGGGGACGAAAACAGACGGUACCCACAGAAGAAGCUCCGGCCAACUACGUGCCAGCAGCCGCGGUAACACGUAGGGAGCAAGCGUUGUCCGGAAUCAUUGGGCGUAAAGAGCUCGUAGGCGGCUCAGUAAGUCGGGUGUGAAACCUCCAGGCUCAACCUGGAGACGCCACUCGAUACUGCUGUGGCUAGAGUCCAGUAGGGGAGUGUGGAAUUCCCGGUGUAGCGGUGAAAUGCGCAGAUAUCGGGAGGAACACCAGCGGCGAAGGCGGCACUCUGGGCUGGUACUGACGCUGAGGAGCGAAAGCGUGGGUAGCAAACAGGAUUAGAAACCCGGGUAGUCC